AUCAGCUGACGAGUCCCAAAUGGGACGAAACUUGCGUUCUGGAU
rfam:Schistosoma haematobium scaffold188_21, whole genome shotgun sequence.